rnacentral:rRNA from 1 species
GUGCCAGCAGCCGCGGUAAUACGUAGGGUGCAAGCGUUGUCCGGAAUUAUUGGGCGUAAAGAGCUCGUAGGCGGUCUGUCACGUCGGCUGUGAAAACCCGAGGCUCAACCUCGGGCCUGCAGUCGAUACGGGCAGACUAGAGUUCGGUAGGGGAGACUGGAAUUCCUGGUGUAGCGGUGAAAUGCGCAGAUAUCAGGAGGAACACCGGUGGCGAAGGCGGGUCUCUGGGCCGAAACUGACGCUGAGGAGCGAAAGCGUGGGGAGCGAACAGGAUUAGAUACCCUGGUAGUCC